AGAGUUUGAUUCUGGCUCAGGAUGAACGCUGGCGGCGUGCUUAACACAUGCAAGUCGAACGGGCUCAUAUUGAAACCUAGUGAUGUAUGAGUUAGUGGCGGACGGGUGAGUAACGCGUGGAGAACCUGCCGUAUACUGGGGGAUAACACUUAGAAAUAGGUGCUAAUACCGCAUAAGCGCACAGCUUCGCAUGAAGCAGUGUGAAAAACUCCGGUGGUAUACGAUGGAUCCGCGUCUGAUUAGCUGGUUGGCGGGGUAACAGCCCACCAAGGCGACGAUCAGUAGCCGGCCUGAGAGGGUGAACGGCCACAUUGGGACUGAGACACGGCCCAAACUCCUACGGGAGGCAGCAGUGGGGAAUAUUGCACAAUGGGGGAAACCCUGAUGCAGCGACGCCGCGUGAGUGAAGAAGUAUUUCGGUAUGUAAAGCUCUAUCAGCAGGGAAGAAAAUGACGGUACCUGACUAAGAAGCCCCGGCUAACUACGUGCCAGCAGCCGCGGUAAUACGUAGGGGGCAAGCGAUAUCCGGAUUUACUGGGU
rnacentral:rRNA from 1 species